CUCCUUGGAAAGCCUAUUCCCAUGGAUGUGGUGCAGGGCUCAGCUCUCUGCCACUCAGACGGGUGCCCAAGUGCAGACUUAAGCACCGCACUUCAGCCCAGAUAUUUCUGCAGAUCCUGGCCCUGGCUUGCCAGUGGUGUCGAGGAGCAAAUGGCUCUCACUGGUGAUGUGGGACAGCUCUUUGUGCUGCAGUGUCGAAGCUAUCAAUCAGAAACGCCAGCUGUGUCUCUUUAGGCUCAGCAGAGGUGAAUGUGCAGUGAUGGGCACAGCUUUGCGGAGGCAGGGAGAAAGCAGGCACUCCUUUGGGCAGCAUGGCGCUUCCAUGGCUUGAUGUGUUAUUUUCCCAUGGCUUUUGGGAAGACCAGCUGCCCGUUCAUGUUGCUUACCAGCAAAAGAAGUCACCUGAUGUUAUUCUAUGUACACUUAGGCUGUAAAUGGUGCCAUUCAGCACUUGCUGCCACAGUCUCCCACCCCAAGCUCUGGAUGCAAUGGAUGAGAGUGUUGCAGCCACACCAACAGGAUGCAAAAUGGCUGCAAUCAGCAGUGUUACUUAAAUCCAGAGGGAAGAAGCUGCUGUGCCCUCAUUUGCCCCCCAUCAAUGAAGCAGCUGGGCUGGCAUGGGGAGCUGCCAACGCCAUCAACAGCUGCUCAGAAGAGUUUGAAUGGAGUUUGUGUUUAUUGGAGAAACAGGAGGGACAUCCAUUGCUUGGUUUGCUGCUUGCAUUGCUGAAAUUGAGCUGUACGUCCUAUAGCAAAGCAUCCCAGUGUCGGUCGGAUGGUCCCUUUUCGGUAGGUUAAUGGGGUGCAGCCUUCUGUGUGACCGAGUAGGGCUGUGAUGCAGGAAGGAACGGAGUUGGCAGCGUUUAAGCUGGAAACCGAGCAGGAAAGGCAAUCCGCGAGCGCCCCCUGCUGGUCUAUAGAAGGAGUGCAGAAGGAAACGUCGCAUUGCUGGAGGAAAGAGGUGUGCAGAUAUCAAAGAACCUCCUCUUCCUCCUAGCAAUUGGAGUGAGGC
rnacentral:lncRNA from 1 species